AUCGAAUAAAAAAAGCGUGUUCAAAAAUGGGGAAGAAUGACGACUUGGAGCUAAAUGGAGCAGAUUUUUCUCUAUUGACAAAGCGAAAUG